rnacentral:rRNA from 1 species
GCUGAAGGUAAGCUGUGAGGCGAACUGGAGGUAUCAGAAGUGCGAAUGUUGACAUGAGUAACGAUCAAAGAGGUGAAAAACCUCUUCGCCGAAAAACUAAGGGUUCCUGUCCAACGCUAAUCGAGGCAGGGUGAGUCGGCUCCUAAGGCGAGGGCGAAAGCCGUAGUCGAUGGAAAACAGGUUAAUAUUCCUGUACUUUUUACAACUGCGAUGGGGUGACGGAGAAGGUUAGACUAGCACGGCGAUGGUUGUCCGUGUUUAAGGCUGUAGACUGACAAUUUAGGUAAAUCCGGAUUGUUAAGGUCGAGGGCUGAUGACGAUUACCUAUUGGUAAGAAGUAGUUAAUACCAUGCUUCCAGGAAAAACCUCUAAGCUUCAGGUUGUAAGAAACCGUACCCGAAACCGACACAGGUGGUUAGGUAGAGAAUACCAAGGUGUUUGAGAGAACUUGGGUGAAGGAACUAGGCAAAAUGACACCGUAACUUCGGGAGAAGGUGUGCCAUAGUUGGUGAUUAGACUUGCUCUAUGAGCUGAUUAUGGUCGAAGAUACCAGGUGGCUGCGACUGUUUACUAAAAACAUAGCACUCUGCAAACUCGUAAGAGGACGUAUAGGGUGUGACGCCUGCCCGGUGCCGGAAGGUUAAUUGAUGAAGUUAGCUUCGGCGAAGCUUCUGAUCGAAGCCCCGGUAAACGGCGGCCGUAACUAUAACGGUCCUAAGGUAGCGAAAUUCCUUGUCGGGUAAGUUCCGACCUGCACGAAUGGCGUAACGAUGGCCACACUGUCUCCACCCAAGACUCAGUGAAAUUGAAAUCGCUGUUAAGAUGCAGUGUACCCGCAGCUAGACGGAAAGACCCCGUGCACCUUUACUACAGGUUCACACUGGACUUUGACUUUAUUUGUGUAGGAUAGGUGGGAGACUUUGAAGCCAAAACGCUAGUUUUGGUGGAGUCGUCCUUGAAAUACCACCCUUGUAAAAUUGAGGUUCUAACUUAGGCCCAUUAUCUGGGUUGAGGACAGUGUGUGCUGGGUAGUUUGACUGGGGCGGUCUCCUCCCAAAGAGUAACGGAGGAGUACGAAGGUAUCCUCAACACGGUCGGACAUCGUGUGCAGAGUAUAAAGGCAGAAGGAUGCUUGACUGCGAGAUCGACGGAUCGAGCAGGUAGGAAACUAGGUCUUAGUGAUCCGGUGGUUCUGAAUGGAAGGGCCAUCGCUCAACGGAUAAAAGGUACGCCGGGGAUAACAGGCUGAUACCCCCCAAGAGUUCACAUCGACGGGGGUGUUUGGCACCUCGAUGUCGGCUCAUCACAUCCUGGGGCUGGAGCAGGUCCCAAGGGUAUGGCUGUUCGCCAUUUAAAGUGGUACGCGAGCUGGGUUUAGAACGUCGUGAGACAGUUCGGUCCCUAUCUGCUGUGGGCGUCGGAAAUUUGAGGGAAGCUGAUCCUAGUACGAGAGGACCGGAUUGGACGAACCUCUGGUGUUCCGGUUGUCACGCCAGUGGCAUUGCCGGGUAGCUAUGUUCGGAAAGGAUAACCGCUGAAAGCAUCUAAGCGGGAAGCCUCUCCCAAGAUUAAAUUUCCCAGAAACUUCGGUUUCCUAAAGAGUCGUCAUAGACUAUGACGUUGAUAGGCGAGAUGUGUAAGCGUUGUGAGGCGUUGAGCUAACUCGUACUAAUAACUCGUGAGACUUGAUCAU